AGAAAAGGAGAGGAAAAAGCCCAAGUGCGUCGGCGGUGCGUGCACGCGCGCGUGGCAGGGAAAACGGGCGGAAGAUAGGAUAGAACGCGAGGUGAAAAAAGAUAUAGAGAGAGAUGUAAGUGGUUGGUCGGUGGCCGAGGAACAAGCUUCCCGGCUUGCGGCCCGGCUUCCGAUCGCGAGUGUGAUUCCCUGCUCGAGGUGCUACGUAUCUUCUCGCCGAUAUUUGCUACGUGCACGAUCGUGUUACCCAAGAAGGCAACGAACGAAGCAGGUAACGCGUGCUCGACGGAGGAGAAGUGUCUUAGAUCGCGCUCGUUGGAGGCUGAAACGAGCGACGAGCCGGCGAAGACGCAGGAGGAGGCUCGCCGCGCCGAGGGGAGAAACAGGGGUGAAUAAUUAAAACGAACGAAUGGGAACAGUCUGACAUAUCGAUUAGAGAGAGAGAGAGAGAGAGAGAAAGGCUGUAGGAGAGAAGGUUGUAGAGAAGAGAGGCUCGUCGACGGAAUAACGAUAGCUUGACGAUAGCGAGAUUAAAGAUACCACGUACACGUGUGUACAUAUAUAUAUAAAAAUAUAUGAAUAAAUGGAUUGUUAAUUAUUAAGAAGAAAAAGCUACUAUAUAUAUAUAUAUGUAAUAUAUAUGUCUCUCUGGAGAAAGAGGAAGAGUUAUUAUUCAGAUCUAUUGUUUUAUCUACUCGUUCGAGAUUUACACGUCGUCCGAUAAGGAGGACAUCUACGUUAUUGGCGCGCGCGCGCGGGAACACGCGCGAUAAAAUAUCUCACGAAGAAGAAACGCUUUCGAGGUGGGGGGAGAGGAACGACCAAAACGAAUGCUGUCAAUUAAUAUCGUAUUAAUAUUAUUCACUUUCGGAGUUUACGAUUUCGCCUAGUUCAAUUACUAUUACCUUCGGGCGCGGUUCUCCUCCUGCAGCCGUUCUUCGAGUUCUACCUCCAGCUUAAGAAUAAUUUAAACGGGGAACUAGAAGGAGUGUAAAAAAAAAAAAAAAAAAAUAAAAGGUCGACAACGAAGGAAGGAAGAAGAGAACGCGCAAGAGGAGAUUUAUUCUCUCAGGAGGGAAAAUUGAGUGGAGAUGUAAGAAGCGAGGAGACGAAGAGAAAGGGAAGAAGAAGAAGAAGAAGAAGAAGAAGAAGAAGAAAACAGGGAGAAGAGAGGACGGUAAAACGGCCUACAAAAAAACGUAUCUAGAUACAUAUAUAUAUAUCUAUAUAUAUAUAGUGCGCGACGCGGGUCCUCGAGCAGACCCUCCACAAUGGUUGUACCUGGUUUAAUCUGCAGUUAAGACUUCGCCCGUUCAGAACGGAAGCUACGCUUGCUUCCGUGCUAUUACGAAGAUAGCGGCAGCGGCAUGAACCCACGAGACUGGUUACGAAGUGCCAUUUGCAGAGUGUCGCGCGAUCUCGAACGGUUCGUCAAGAUCGCGCCCGACAACGAUCAAACUUUGUGCACGCAGCUCUAGUGUAACGGAAGAACAGAGUUGAAAAGAGAACCGAAAGACAAGAGUGAA